GAUGAACGCUAGCUACAGGCUUAACACAUGCAAGUCGAGGGGCAGCACAGAGUGGCAACACUUGGGUGGCGACCGGCGCACGGGUGAGUAACACGUAUCCAACCUGUCCCAUACUCGGGGAUAGCCUUUCGAAAGAAAGAUUAAUACCCGAUGGUAUCAGAUUAAGGCAUCUUGAUUUGAUUAAAGAGAUUCGGUAUGGGGUGGGGAUGCGUUCCAUUAGCUUGUUGGCGGGGUAACGGCCCACCAAGGCAACGAUGGAUAGGGGUUCUGAGAGGAAGGUCCCCCCACAUUGGAACUGAGACACGGGUCCAAACUCCUACGGGAGGCAGCAGUGAGGAAUAUUGCACAAUGGGGGAAACCCUGAUGCAGCGACGCCGCGUGAAGG
rnacentral:rRNA from 1 species